rnacentral:lncRNA from 1 species
GCCUGAGCCCAGGAGUAAGAGGCCAGCCUGGGAAAUAUAGUAACAAAUUCAUUCAUUCUCAUUCAUUCCCCCACCCACACACACACACACACACAGCAGAUGAUCUAAAUAGAUACUUCUCAAAAGAAGAAAUACAAGCAGUCAACAAAUACAUGAGAAAAAUGCUCAAUAUCACAAUAUCAUUCAUCAUCAGAGAAAUGCAGAUCAAAACUGAAAUGGGAUACCAUCUCACCCCAGUUAAAAGGGCUUGUUAUCAAAAAAACAAAACAAAAUGCUGGCAAGGAUAUGGGGGUAAAAGGAACACUUACACAUUGUUGGUGGGAAUGUAAAUUAGUAAAAUUAUAUAGCCAUUAUGGAGAAUAGUAUGGAUGGUCCUCAAAAUGCUAAAAUUAGAUCUACCAUAUGAUCCAGCAAUUCCACUCCAAGGUAUGUAUUCAAAGGAAGUGAAUUCAGCAUACCAAAGAAAUACCUACACAUUCAUGUUUAUUGUGGUAUAAUUCAUAUUAGCCAAGAUAUGGAAUCAGCCUUGGUGCCAUCAACAUGUGAAUAAAUAAAAUAUGGUGUGUGUAUGUGUGUGUGUGUGUGCGCACACACUCACACACACACAAAAUGGAGUAUUAUUCAGCCAUAAAGAAGAAUGAAAUCCUGUCAUUACAGCAAAAUGGGUACAUUCAGAGGACAUUAUGUUAAGUGAAAUAAGCCAGACACAGAAAGACAAAUACUACAUGGUCUCUCUCUUAUGUGAAAGCUUAAAAAAAAAAGUCACCUGAAAGUAGAAUAGUGAUUACUAGAGACUGGGAAGGGGAGGAUGGAAGAAAAGGGAUUGGUUGUGAUCAGUGCAUGCUGUUUGCAUGUAUGAAGAUACCAUGCUGAACAUCUUUUCCAAAAUGGUUCUGCCCCAAGAUUGUGUUCACUUUGCUUCACCAGCAGUUCCCAUAAUUACUUGGACACAGAGUACAUCAUCACUGUGUCUGUCACCUGCUAAUGUUUUCUUACUCAUGCUCUCUGCAAGAUGUUUUGGAGAAACUUCUGGAGAGAACUUUGCCCUAC